rnacentral:rRNA from 1 species
GGGCCCGCACAAGCGGUGGAUUAUGUGGUUUAAUUCGAAGCAACGCGCAGAACCUUACCUAGGCUUGAAAUCCUGCGAACCCGACGUAAUUGUUGGGGUGCCCGCAAGGGAAUGCAGUGACAGGUGCUGCAUGGCUGUCGUCAGCUCGUGUUGUGAAAUGUUGGGUUAAGUCUCGCAACGAGCGCAACCCCUAUCUUUAGUUGCCAGCAUUAAGUUGGGCACUCUAGAGAGACUGCCCGGGUUAACCGGGAGGAAGGUGGGGAUGACGUCAAGUCCUCAUGGCCCUUAUGCCUAGGGCUACACACGUAAUACAAUGGUACAUACAAAGGGAAGCGACCCAGUGAUGGUAAGCAAAUCUCAAAAAGUGUAUCUCAGUUCGGAUUGUCGUCUGCAACUCGACCUCAUG